AGACCCGAAACCCGGUGAUCUAGCCAUGGGCAGGUUGAAGGUUGGGUAACACUAACUGGAGGACCGAACCGACUAAUGUUGAAAAAUUAGCGGAUGACCUGUGGCUGGGGGUGAAAGGCCAAUCAAACCGGGAGAUAGCUGGUUCUCCCCGAAAGCUAUUUAGGUAGCGCCUCGUGAAUUCAUCUCCGGGGGUAGAGCACUGUUUCGGCUAGGGGGCCAUCCCGGCUUACCAACCCGAUGCAAACUGCGAAUACCGGAGAAUGUUAUCACGGGAGACACACGGCGGGUGCUAACGUCCGUCGUGAAGAGGGAAACAACCCAGACCGCCAGCUAAGGUCCCAAAGUCAUGGUUAAGUGGGAAACGAUGUGGGAAGGCCCAGACAGCCAGGAUGUUGGCUUAGAAGCAGCCAUCAUUUAAAGAAAGCGUAAUAGCUCACUGGUCGAGUCGGCCUGCGCGGAAGAUGUAACGGGGCUAAACCAUGCACCGAAGCUGCGGCAGCGACGCUGAUGCGUUGUUGGGUAGGGGAGCGUUCUGUAAGCCUGCGAAGGUGGCCUGUGAGGGUUGCUGGAGGUAUCAGAAGUGCGAAUGCUGACAUAAGUAACGAUAAAGCGGGUGAAAAGCCCGCUCGCCGGAAGACCAAGGGUUCCUGUCCAACGUUAAUCGGGGCAGGGUGAGUCGACCCCUAAGGCGAGGCCGAAAGGCGUAGUCGAUGGGAAACGGGUUAAUAUUCCCGUACUUGGUGUUACUGCGAAGGGGGGACGGAGAAGGCUAUGUUGGCCGGGCGACGGUUGUCCCGGUUUAAGCGUGUAGGUGUGUGUUCCAGGUAAAUCCGGUUCACUUUAACACUGAGGCGUGAUGACGAGGCACUACGGUGCUGAAGCAACAAAUGCCCUGCUUCCAGGAAAAGCCUCUAAGCAUCAGGUAACAUCAAAUCGUACCCCAAACCGACACAGGUGGUCAGGUAGAGAAUACCAAGGCGCUUGAGAGAACUCGGGUGAAGGAACUAGGCAAAAUGGUGCCGUAACUUCGGGAGAAGGCACGCUGACACGUAGGUGAAGUGAUUUACUCAUGGAGCUGAAGUCAGUCGAAGAUACCAGCUGGCUGCAACUGUUUAUUAAAAACACAGCACUGUGCAAACACGAAAGUGGACGUAUACGGUGUGACGCCUGCCCGGUGCCGGAAGGUUAAUUGAUGGGGUCAGCGCAAGCGAAGCUCCUGAUCGAAGCCCCGGUAAACGGCGGCCGUAACUAUAACGGUCCUAAGGUAGCGAAAUUCCUUGUCGGGUAAGUUCCGACCUGCACGAAUGGCGUAAUGAUGGCCAGGCUGUCUCCACCCGAGACUCAGUGAAAUUGAACUCGCUGUGAAGAUGCAGUGUACCCGCGGCAAGACGGAAAGACCCCGUGAACCUUUACUAUAGCUUGACACUGAACAUUGAGCCUUGAUGUGUAGGAUAGGUGGGAGGCUUUGAAGUGUGGACGCCAGUCUGCAUGGAGCCGACCUUGAAAUACCACCCUUUAAUGUUUGAUGUUCUAACGUGGACCCGUGAUCCGGGUUGCGGACAGUGUCUGGUGGGUAGUUUGACUGGGGCGGUCUCCUCCUAAAGAGUAACGGAGGAGCACGAAGGUUGGCUAAUCCUGGUCGGACAUCAGGAGGUUAGUGCAAUGGCAUAAGCCAGCUUGACUGCGAGCGUGACGGCGCGAGCAGGUGCGAAAGCAGGUCAUAGUGAUCCGGUGGUUCUGAAUGGAAGGGCCAUCGCUCAACGGAUAAAAGGUACUCCGGGGAUAACAGGCUGAUACCGCCCAAGAGUUCAUAUCGACGGCGGUGUUUGGCACCUCGAUGUCGGCUCAUCACAUCCUGGGGCUGAAGUAGGUCCCAAGGGUAUGGCUGUUCGCCAUUUAAAGUGGUACGCGAGCUGGGUUUAGAACGUCGUGAGACAGUUCGGUCCCUAUCUGCCGUGGGCGCUGGAGAACUGAGGGGGGCUGCUCCUAGUACGAGAGGACCGGAGUGGACGCAUCACUGGUGUUCGGGUUGUCAUGCCAAUGGCACUG
rnacentral:rRNA from 1 species